UAGAAGAGCAAUGUCCGUCUGUUCAUGAGCAACUAAACUAAAGCGGGUGCCACAGCGCCCUCUGGCAGCUGCUGAAAGGCCUGCUUCCAACCCUUUUAAACUUGUUUAUUAUGGAAAUUUUCUAACACACGUGGAUGGUGGCAGAUGUGGGCAGGGAGGAGUUGCAGGAGUUGGAGAGUGGUUCUGAGGAGGGGGUUAGAUGAGAAAACAGGGAACUUGAAUGGAAACUGCACCUCUGACAGUGAACUAUACUGCUCUUUCUUUGAAUGCAGGACGGAGAUUCUCACCAAGAGGAUGACGAAUGGCCGGGACGUGUACCGCGGGGUGAAUGCCCUCCAGGCCAAAAUCAACCUGAUUGAGAGGUUGUAUGAAAUAAAUGUGGAAGAUGCUAAUGAAAUAGACUGGGAAGAUCUUGCUGGUACCAUAGGGUAAGACCAUCCUAUAUAAAAAAAGGCUAAUAUGCAAA